CCUUGUACACACCGCCCGUCAAGUCAUGGGACGUUGGGAGUACCCGAAGUCCGUUUAGCUAACCUGCAAAGGAGGCGGCGGCCGACGGUAAGCCCGAUGACUGGGACU
rnacentral:rRNA from 1 species